UAACGAUCUAAUCAGUCCCAUUUCC
rnacentral:piRNA from 1 species